UAAGGCUUCAAAUCAAUUCUUCUCCUUUUCAUUCAUUCCCAUUUGGCACUACUCUCUCAAAACCCAACAAGAGAUCUGUACAAUAGAAAUCAGAACAACAAGGGUUAGAUUGAGAUUGAGAAGAGAAGAGAAUCAUGGAGUCAUAAUAAGCAUCAUCUCCCGAUUCACAUAUAUCUCCAUCUACCGGUGUCAACCACAACCACUACUACAACUACAAUCACCGCCUCUUAUAUCCAGUCGUAACCUUGCAAUUGCUUUAACGCAAACAGCUUCAUGAAUCAGUCAUGGAUUCCAACUCAAGAAAUCAAACGAAGAAUCUGGUGUUGCCUUUAAUGCCGGCGAUGUUGAUACAAGGGCUGCUGACAGUAACAUGGUUGUAGAAUGUGGCGAUUCGUGUAGCGACACAAACAUUGUCCACACUCCUGUUGGCAAAUCUUCUAUGAAAAGAUCAUCCGGUAAUAUAGAUUCUUCAACGAAUGGAAAUGGCGAGGUUGGACAAGCAUCUGUGACACAGCCCUCGAAGAUGGUGCGCGUCAAAGUUGAAUCAAAGGAUUAGAAUUGCCAAAAUUGAUGUUGACGAGGAGCAUCUAUUUGAUGUUUUUGUUUUAAUUUUUAGUGUUUCACAAGAAUUUAUUCUAUCAAACAAUUAUGAUGGCAGCUGAUGUUCUGCUCAUCUCUUAAGCAAUUUGAGAUUUGGGUUAGAGGAAUAAAAAUCUCUAUGUAAUCGAGCUGUACAAAUAUACUACUAUUGAUUUUUAUUCCAUUGAACUGGGAGUUAAUGAUUUGCUAUUUUUUGGAA